GAGAUGAAGUCCCAUUAAUGGUUAAACGCAAAGUCUGUAGUUCCAGAAUCCCUAAGGGUGAUACCAAUACCACAGAAGGUGCUGCACAUACCUCAGCCCAUUCAAGGGAGGGGGGGUUUAGAGUCCCUGCAGUUCUACUGUGCUUAAUGGAGAACCACCAGGCUCUCCUUGUGUUUUCAGAAACAGGUUCAUUAUUGAUCACUGUCUGCCAUUUAGGGCCAUCAAUAGCCCCCUGCUACUGCUCCUAAUCGCUCAGAUCCCUGCUGCUAAUUUUAUAUUGGCCUAGCGAUGGUAGAAAGGUAUAUCAAUUGGUUAAGUGUGUGACUUCUAGAGCCAGGCUGUGCUUGGAUUGAAUUCCAGGUCUCUACCAUUUAAUUGCUGUGUGAUAGGGCUUUCUUUCAUUCAACUUGUACUUCAAUUUCUUCACGUGUAAAUGAGGAUAAUGAGAGAACCCACCCCAGGGUUAUAACCAGAAAUAAAGGAGCUGAUGUUUGUAAAAUGUUUAGGACAGUGCCAAACACAUAAUAAGCACCGUAUAAAUGUUAGCUUAAUAUUAUAAUUCUUUUUACCAAGUGAUUCUAAGUGUGAACCCAGUUUCUCAUAGCAUAAGAGACCAAGCUACAAUUUACCAUAAUUCUUUGUUGAAGUCUCCAGGAUAAUUAAAGGUAAUAACAAAAGAGAAUAACUUCCAAAACUUACUGUCCAUCUACACUAAUCUUCUAUAACGUGGCUUCCUCCCUAUAGCAGAGCUAUCAUUUCUUUCACCGUUCUGAGUUAUUUUCCAGCAUAUUAGAGUCCAGACCAAUGCCUUAAAGAACAGAGGAGCCGGGAUCACAGGCGUGAGCCACCACGCCUGGCUGAAUUCCUUUUUAUAACUAUUUAAGGAUAAUUUCCAUGAGGACAGGGAGCCCACCUGCCUAUGCACUACUGUAUUUCCAAUGCCUGGAACAUAUUAGGAACUCCAUAAACAUUUGCUCAUGAAUGAGUUCUUC
rnacentral:lncRNA from 1 species